UACGUAGGUGGCAAGCGUUGUUCGGAAUUAUUGGGCGUAAAGGGCGCGUAGGCGGUUUGUUAAGUCGGCUGUGAAAGCCCGGGGCUCAACCCCGGAGGGUCAGCCGAUACUGGCAGGCUAGAGUACGGAAUAGGUAGCUGGAAUUCCCGGUGUAGCGGUGAAAUGCGUAGAUAUGACACAGAACACCGAUUGCGAAGGCAGCUCACUAAACCAUAACUGACGCUGAUGCACGAAAGCGUGGGGAGCAAACAGG
rnacentral:rRNA from 1 species